AGCCUUAUAGUCAAUAUAAUGAUAUUAAAUUGCAAAUUUAAAGUAGAAAAAAUUUUCUAAGGCUU
rnacentral:tRNA from 1 species